GCUAUUGUUGCAUGUUGACAUACCUGAGUAUAUAUGGAGCACCUAUACAAUUUUGGACUGGAGAAAUUCUGGAGUUAAGUGGUAAAGAGAGCCUGUGGAAACUUCUGCAGAGUCUCAUGUUCUUUUGUAAUAGUACUUAAUAAGGAACAGAUUUGUAGGUUAUCUAAGCAGAUAACUCAAGAACUUGUUUCAAACUCUAAAGAUCCCUUUUGAACAGUAAUUUCAAGAAGUAUGUAUUAUCUCACUACACCUCUGUCAUAAUAUGUCAGCAUAUCUAGAUGUCUGUUUUCUAUGAAAUUUGUAAUCAGAGAUGGAUAUCAUCACUUUCAAUACUCUGCUAAUUGACCAAACUCUGCAUGGAAAAACUGCAGUUGGACAAACAUAGAUAUACCCAGGAUCUAGCUUUAAUGCUAGGUAAAUGAUUUGAUCUUUAGAAUGGUGUCCCAGGGAUGUACAUGUUGCUUUUAGCUACAGGCAACAACAGAAGGCAUAAGUGUUACUUAGUUCUGUCUCCUCCCAACGUAUCCUCUGUGUCUUGCUCUAAGAACAGGUGAACUUGAUGUUUGUGGACGGUACCAGCUGAAAUGCUGGGUUCACCUCCCUGUGGAGAAAACUGCUUGCUGAAUCUCCAGUGCAUUGCAAACAAAAUUAAACUUCUUGUAAAAGAAGAGAUAAGGCUGCUUACCCCAAACUGGAGCUUGCGAAACUGAUAAUUAAAAGAAGCCAGCUCAGUAGAAUUUCAGACAUGGCAAUGGAAUCUGCUCUAAUCAGUUCAGUCCCUACCACUGCAUCUCGUUUUGCCUUACUACAACUGGAAAGUGAUACUGAUUCAGAGCCUGGAAAAGGCAGAAGUGGCCGACGUGCUGGUAAAUCUCUAGCUUCAGGAGUGUAGAUCUAUAAAUGUGAAGAAAAGAGAGAAAAGAAGAAAAAGGAGAGAACAGCAGCAGAGUGAGGCCAAUGAUGUAAAGGGAUUGUAUUUUCAACAGUGAGUAAGGUUGUUGUCUCAUCAAGAGUUUUUGCUGUCCCUGAAAAGUCAUUGGUUUUGGUUUUCCCUGUGAAAGAAGAACUACUUAAUCGCAGAUUA